rnacentral:rRNA from 1 species
UACGUAGGGCGCAAGCGUUAUCCGGAAUUAUUGGGCGUAAAGAGCUCGUAGGCGGUGUGUCACGUCGAUCGUGAAAACUUACAGCUUAACUGUGAGCGUGCGGUCGAUACGGGCAUCACUGGAGUUCGGCAGGGGAGACUGGAAUUCCUGGUGUAGCGGUGAAAUGCGCAGAUAUCAGGAGGAACACCGGUGGCGAAGGCGGGUCUCUGGGCCGAUACUGACGCUGAGGAGCGAAAGCGUGGGGAGCGAACAGG